GAUGAACGCUAGCUACAGGCUUAACACAUGCAAGUCGAGGGGAAACGACAUCGAAAGCUUGCUUUUGAUGGGCGUCGACCGGCGCACGGGUGAGUAACGCGUAUCCAACCUGCCCACCACUUGGGGAUAACCUUGCGAAAGUAAGACUAAUACCCAAUGAUAUCCCACGAAGACAUCUGAAUGGGAUUAAAGAUUUAUCGGUGAUGGAUGGGGAUGCGUCUGAUUAGCUUGUUGGCGGGGUAACGGCCCACCAAGGCAACGAUCAGUAGGGGUUCUGAGAGGAAGGUCCCCCACAUUGGAACUGAGACACGGUCCAAACUCCUACGGGAGGCAGCAGUGAGGAAUAUUGGUCAAUGGGCGAGAGCCUGAACCAGCCAAGUAGCGUGCAGGAAGACGGCCCUAUGGGUUGUAAACUGCUUUUAUAAGGGAAUAAAGUGGGUCACGUGUGACUUUUUGCAUGUACCUUAUGAAUAAGGACCGGCUAAGUCCGUG
rnacentral:rRNA from 1 species